UACGGAGGGUGCGAGCGUUGUCCGGAAUCAUUGGGCGUAAAGGGCGCGUAGGUGGCCCGGUCAGCGUGCGGUGAAAGCUCGGGGCUCAACCCCGAGUCGGCCGUGCGAACUGCUGGGCUGGAGCACUGUAGAGGCAGGCGGAAUUCCGGGUGUAGCGGUGGAAUGCGUAGAUAUCAAGAGGAACACCAGUGGCGAAGGCGAGUCCCUGGACGAUACCUGACACUGAGGCACGAAAGCUAGGGGAGCAAACAGG
rnacentral:rRNA from 1 species